rnacentral:rRNA from 1 species
AUUGAACGCUGGCGGCAUGCUUUACACAUGCAAGUCGAACGGUAACAGGUCUUCGGAUGCUGACGAGUGGCGAACGGGUGAGUAAUGCAUCGGAACGUGCCCAGUCGUGGGGGAUAACGCAGCGAAAGCUGUGCUAAUACCGCAUACGAUCUAUGGAUGAAAGCGGGGGAUCGCAAGACCUCGCGCGAUUGGAGCGGCCGAUGUCAGAUUAGCUAGUUGGUGGGGUAAAGGCCCACCAAGGCGACGAUCUGUAGCUGGUCUGAGAGGACGACCAGCCACACUGGGACUGAGACACGGCCCAGACUCCUACGGGAGGCAGCAGUGGGGAAUUUUGGACAAUGGGCGCAAGCCUGAUCCAGCAAUGCCGCGUGCAGGAAGAAGGCCUUCGGUUGUAAAGCUCUUUUACCAGGGAUGAUAAUGACAGUACCUGGA